CUUGUUUAUCGGUUUGUACGGAACGCCACCCACCGUUCGGAAGCCAGAAUAUGCUUGAUAGAAGCAGUAUGGUGAAGGGGAAGAAUGCCUCGGGAGCCCAUGCUGAGGAUCCCUUUACCGAGGAAAACAUCUGACCCCGUGAGGUGCUAGAUCCUGGAUACCUGAGACACAUCAACUUCUCAGGUUUGGAAUGCACAAUGAUGAGACACAAAAACAUAAACAUCUCCAGAAAGAAGCUAUGACUGGAACACAGAGGACUACUAGAUUAAGUGGAAACAAUGCCCAGGCAUCCCAGUGCCCCCACUGAUGGUCCAGCUAUCAUCAAGAUGGUGACGAGUUACAUAUGACCUGGAGGAGGACUGUGCAGAGUACCUUCUAGCACCAUAAACACUAAUCAGUGAGCAAUGCUGAACUUCUAAUUAGGCAAGAGCUCAACCUCUUCAUGCUUGAGGACAUAAGUAAGUACUGUUUUCAGCAAUCAAACCUACCAUCAGCUCAUUGGGAUCAACAAAGAGUUUUGGCAGUAGUCUAUAAUAUUUGGGGAAGGACCACAGAACUCCUUUGUUCAGUGACUCACAAUGUGAUCCAUUUGAAUUCCACACUGAACUUUUUAAUUAGUGGCAUAAAGUAUCCAGUUUAGACAUUGUCUCCUCCACUAUACAGUGACUCUGUGUGAAUUCCUUUCUUUUUCUUUUUCUUUUUUUAUUGCAUAUUUUAUGUAUUUACAUUUCAAAUUUUAUGCCUGUUCCACUUUCUUCUAUCUCACCCCCUGCUUCUAUGAAGAUGGUCCCACUCCCACCCACUCCCGCCUCAACAUCCUGGCAUUCCCCUACACUGGGGAAAAGAACCUUCACAGGACCAUCCUCCUAUUGAUGCCAGACAGUGCCAUCCUCUGCUACAUAUGCAGCUGGAGCCACAGGUCCCUCCAUCUGUACUCUUUGGUUGGUGGUUUAGUCCCUGGGAGCUCUGGGGUGUCUGGUUGGUGAUAUUGUUGUUCUUCCUACGGGGUUGCAAACCCCUUCAGCUCCUUCAGUCCUUUCUCUAACUCCUCCAUUGGUGUCCCCUUGUUCAGUCCAAUGGUUAGCUGCAAGCAUCCUCAUCUGUAUCAAUAGGGCUCUUCAGUAGAGCUUCUUGGGAGACACCCAUAUCAGGCCCCUGUCAGCAAGCACUUCUUGGAAUCAGCAAUAGUGACUGGGUCUGGUGGUUGCAUAUGGGAUGGAUCCUCGGGUGGGGCACUCUUUGUCCCUAUAUUUCCUCCUGUGAAUAUUUUGUUCCCCCCAUCUAAGAAGGACUGAAAUGUCCACACUUUGGUCUUCCUUCUUCU
ensembl:lncRNA LOC100912991 uncharacterized LOC100912991